UACGUAGGGGGCAAGCGUUGUCCGGAUUUAUUGGGCGUAAAGAGCGUGUAGGCGGCCAUACAGGUCAGCUGUGAAAACUCGAGGCUCAACCUCGAGACGUCGGUUGAAACCGUAUGGCUAGAGUCCGGAAGAGGAGAGUGGAAUUCCCGGUGUAGCGGUGAAAUGCGCAGAUAUCGGAAAGAACACCCGUGGCGAAGGCGGCUCUCUGGGACGGUACUGACGCUGAGACGCGAAAGCGUGGGGAGCGAACAGG
rnacentral:rRNA from 1 species